rnacentral:rRNA from 1 species
CCUACGGGGGGCAGCAGUGAGGAAUAUUGGGCAAUGGGCGAGAGCCUGAACCAGCCAAGUCGCGUGAGGGAGUACUGCCCUAUGGGUUGUAAACCUCUUUUGUCGGGGAGCAAAAGCCGGACGUGUCCGGCUGUGAGAGUACCCGAAGAAAAAGCAUAGGCUAACUCCGUGCCAGCAGCCGCGGUAAUACGGAGAAUGCGAGCGUUAUCCGGAUUUAUGGGGUGUAAAGCGCUCGUAGGCGGUAUGUCAAGUCAAGGGUGAAAGCCCCGCGCUCAACGUGGGAACUGCCUUUGAAACUGGCAAACUGGAGUGUGUGAGAGGAUAGUGGAAUUCCAGGUGUAGGAGUGAAAGCCGUAGAUAUCUGGAGGAACAUCAGUGGCGAAGGCGACUAUCUGGCACAUAACUGACGCUGAGGAGCGAAAGCGUGGGUAGCAAACAGGAUUAGAUACCCGAGUAGUC